rnacentral:lncRNA from 1 species
AGUCUCUUAGGUCUAGUAUUGUAUGGGAUCGAUAUGAUAUUAAUUAAACUACAGUGUAUCAAAUCUAUGGUUAUAUAUACAGAGUGAAGUUCAAACUUUUUCUUGCUUCCGCGUAUUGAUUGAUCAGUUAGAGAAUCCCUGGUUAGAACCUCACUUGGACAUUACACUUAAACUAGAUAAGAACUUAAAAUGAAUCGAACCGGACCGGGUCACCUAUCGGCUUGGUCGUGUGA